AAAGAAACCAACAGGGAUUGCCUCAGUAACGGCGAGUGAAGCGGCAAGAGCUCAAAUUUGAAAUCUGGUCCUUUCAGGGCCCGAGUUGUAAUUUGCAGAGGAUGCUUUGGGUGCGGCCGCGGCGUAAGUGCCCUGGAACGGGCUGUCGCAGAGGGUGAGAAUCCCGUCUUGAGUCGCCGGUUCGCGCCCGUGUAAAGCUCCUUCGACGAGUCGAGUUGUUUGGGAAUGCAGCUCUAAAUGGGUGGUAAAUUUCAUCUAAAGCUAAAUAUUGGCUGGAGACCGAUAGCGCACAAGUAGAGUGAUCGAAAGGUUAAAAGCACCUUGAAAAGGGAGUUAAAUAGCACGUGAAAUUGUUGAAAGGGAAGCGCUUGCAACCAGACUCGGCCGCAGAGGCUCAACGGGCACGUGUGCCUGUGCACUCCUCUGUGGUCGGGCCAGCAUCAGUUCUGGCGACCGGUCAAAGGCCCCUGGAAUGUGUCGUCCUCCGGGACGUCUUAUAGCCAGGGGUGCAAUGCGGCCAGCCGGGACUGAGGAACGCGCUUCGGCACGGAUGCUGGCAU
rnacentral:rRNA from 2 species